rnacentral:tRNA from 1 species
GCGAGGAUGGCGGAAUUGGCAGACGCACUAGCUUGAGGUGCUAGCGGUUAACAGCCGUGGGGGUUCAAGUCCCCCUCCUCGCA